UUAUGGAGAGCGUUGAGAGAAGGAAGCCUUACAAUCCUAUCCAGAGAAAUACCACUCGGUCGAGUUGGACCGAAGGUUUGGUUGCAUGUGGCAUGUUAUUGCUGGAGAAGAUUUUGGAUUUGAUUUAACUUACGAGAUGGGAUUCCUUAUCCAUAUCUUCUAUGGCUCUCUCGGUAUCCUAGCAUGGAAGUGCGGUUCUCAACUCCUGGUUGAAUCCAAGUAUAUGAGCAUCAAAGCUGAGGAUCAAGCUGAGAAGAACAAGAGAAAGAUGUCAAAAGUACAAAAAAUAAUAACUUAAAUGUGAGCCGGAGAGUUAUCAAUGGAGUACUUUGAAGCCUCCUUUUUCUCUUGAGACCCCUACUACAAUCUCAUCGCCCCUACCCCCCGCCCCUGAAAAAACCCUCAGUUUUUUUUUACCGUAGACUGCCCUAUUUCAUCAGAAAUCCCUUAGAUUUUUUGUACAAUCCCCCUAUUUUAUUAGAGACGCCCAGAUUUUCAAAGGAAACCCAUGAGGAUUUCAUAGGGUUUUAACUCUUUAGAAAAUAUGGGGGUCUUUAAUGAACACAAUUUAGGGGUCUCACAACAAAUCUUAGGGUCUUCGAUGAAACUUAGAUCAACAGCUGGGGGGUCUCUUUUAAAAAUUGAUCUCCAAUAGUGGUUACUGAUAAAUGUAAAAAAUUAAUUUAAAUUAUGUUUUAUUCUUUGAA